AGCUGAGAUCAAAGGUGAUAUUUUUACAGCAACUGAAAUAGAAAACCACUGGGUGCACAGUGGGAGGUGAGCGGCCGGAACACAGGCCCUUUUAUGCAGCCUGCGGCCACCGCGAGCGCACUGCCCCCUGCACAGGACCGAGGGGCAUGGGGGACAGUAUGGCCCCAUCUUCCCAACUCAGAUCUCUUCGAAAUAGCCACCCGGCUGGGGUUUCCGGGGUGAAACACUGACACCUGCUGCUUCCAAGCUGGGAGUUAAGUACCCUGCGAGGGGAAGGGGAGCUGUCCUGUCUGCGCCACCACCACCACCACGGCCUGGGGCCCUUCAUCAGUGAGAGCAUCUGAGCAUCCGCCUUCUGCGAGGCGGUUUGGCCCAGACAUCUGAAGCUCGUUAGCGGCCUGCUCCCAGGGGGCUGACUCCGCCUGGAGAGAAAUAUCCCAGCAGAGCCACAGGGGAUGGAGCAAACAAAGACCAGCCACUGUUCUAAACACCAUACGCAGAUUAAAAUGACUUAACCCGAAGUUCCCACUGUGGCUCAGUGGUUAAGAAUCCUACAAGCAUCCAUGAGGAUGUGGGUUCGAUCCCCAGCCUCACUCAGUGGGUUAAGGAUCCGUAGCCUGGGAACUUCCGUGUGCCUUGGGUGUGGCCCUUAAGAGACAAAAAAAGCCUGGAGUCUGGCUCUCAUCUGGACACCCUGACCUUGACCUUUCUGAAGCUUGGACGGCUGGCUCUGACCACAUCACUCAAGAUCGCUGCCUCCUCCCAAGAUGGUUAUAACGGACACCAGGCCAUCUCCCAGUCUAUGACAGGGGCACCUUGGUCCCCUCCCAGUCUCCUUCCCUCCUGGGAGUCAGGUUUGGGGGGAGGCCUUGCCUGGUGGCCUGGAACCCGAGCAAAGGGCGAGGAGGGCUGGUGCAGAGAACUAUUACACAGACCUCGGCGAAGCCGAACCGUGUGCCCCUCAAGCAGAGUGGCCCCUGCGGGGCUGGGAUGGGCACGGCCCCCAGACAGUUCCUACCUGCUGGGCUGUGCUAGGCGGGCACUCAGCCAAAGUGGGCUUCGCUGCACCUCGCUUUUCACUGGACGCCUGCUCCUAGGUUGCUGCAUCCUUCCUUUGGCGGGUGAACACCUCUGAUGACCAAGACUGAUGCAUUUACUUCUCAUGGGGCAACCUUAUUACCGGCAUUGCCAAGACAGGCCCAGAGAUGGAGCCCUGCCGCCCAGGUUCACCGAGCCCGGCCAGGCCUGAGACCACUGGGAUCCCAGACGGAUCCUGAUUAUCUGGGCACCACCUUCAAAUACGGAAAAUGAAUUCUACAACGGCAGAAACGUUAGCAAAUACAAACAAGCAUGGUCACUUAUGAUGGAGCAUGCGAAUGUGAGAAAAAAGACAUACGCAUGUUUGUGUGCCUGGGUCACCUUGCUGUACGGUAGAAAAGUGACCGAACAUAGUAAACCAGCUACGAUGAAAAAAGUAAAAAUCAUUUAUAAAAAUUAAACUAAAAAAAAUAAAAUUGGAGUUCCUGUCGUGGCGUAGUGGAAACGAAUCCAACUAGGAACCAUGAGGUUGCAGGUUCAAUCUCUGGCCUCGCUCAGUGGGUAAAGGAUCCUGCGGUGCCGUGAGCUGGGGUGUAGGUUGCAGAUGAGGCUCGGAUCCCGAGUUGCUGUGGCUGUGGCGUCAGCUGGUGGCUACAGCUCCGAUUAGACUCCUAGCCUGGGAACCUCCAUAUGUCACAGGUGCGGCCCUAAAAAGCAAAAAUAAAUAAAUAAAAUCAAUGUUUCAUAGAAUAAAAAAAAAGAGAAAGAAAAUACAAAUAAGCAAAAGGGAAAAUUAACUUUUGGUUUAUUUCUUGGAGAAACUUCUAUGGCCUUCUUCAUCCCUUCUCUCCCCUGGGCCUCAGCCACCGCCCCAGCCCCAGCAUAAUCAAUACCUCACUGCCUUUUACCAGCGGCUGUUCCCUGAGGACUCAGCCUUGACAGCAGAUCCUGGAAGAGAGUCUGAGACCGGAUUCUGGAAAGGCCUGGCGUCUCUUCCGGAACAGCAGAGCUUCUGCCCCAGACUGUCUGAGUGCAGAGAGUCGGAAAUCCUUCCGGCCAGGAGUCCAGAGCCUGCAUCCAGCCCCGCCUGGCUAGCGGAUGGACCCUGUGACCUUGGGCCAGUCCCUGCCCUCUCGGUGUCUCCGCUGGAAACUGCAGACUUGGACUUGACCGAGUGGCUUCGGUCUGUCGGCUGCUCUUGGGCAAGGACCCUGCCCUCUCCGCUGAGGUGGACCGUGGCGUUUAGCAUCAGAGGGCAGCGUCUGAGCUCCCCUGGUGAUGGGCAGGGCUGUGUGGCUGUGUGGCCCUCCCUCUGUGCGUCUCAGGGCGGCUGUGGGUCCCACAAGGGGGCGGGCCUCGAAGACCUCUGGACGAUGCAGAGCGAGGAGCUGUACCAGACUCGAACCAGAGGGUGCCCCUGCCUGCCCGGAGCCUGGCUCCAUCCCGCCUCCGCCCUGGCUCAGGGAGUGUGGUCCAGGCUUGUAGAUGGAGCCGCUGGCUGCCCACGGGCUCCCAGAGUCCUGGCGGGAGGAAUGUGUGGACCCGGGGCCCAGGCCACCGCAUGAAGUGUCCUUAACGAUGCCCAGAGGGCCUCGGGCCUGUGACAUCACGCACCGCAGUUUCCCAAGUUGGAGCUCAGAGGGCUAAGGCCGUUUCAAAACACAGCACUGCCUUUUUUUUCUUUCUCUUUCCAUUUUGGCUAAGGCAUCCAAUGUGACAGCUGCUGCAUUAGGAAGAUGAAGAGGUGGGGUUCGUAGGCUGACUCAGCUUUAUGGGACCCUAAAAACAAUGGGAACCCUGGGGAGUCUGGCCCCUGCUUCCUCAUGCCCACCUGACCUUGGCUCCUCCGGCAGGACCAGGGUCAGGGGAAGACAAUUGUGACCUCUGCCCUCGGCCCGCUGUGUCUUAUGACUGGAUGUUUGUGUCCCCUUCACGUUCACACAUUGCAGGCCUGCCCCCGCCUGAGUGGGAGUGGGAUAAAGAAAUGAGGGUGGGGCCCCCACGACGGGAUGUGUCUUUAUAAGAAGAGUAAGAGCCCAGAGAUCUUUCUCUCUCUCUCUGGGAGUCCGCAGAGAGGUCAUGUGCCCACACGGUGACAUGGCAGCCACCUGCCAGCCAAGAAAAGGGCUCUCACCAAGAACUGAUCCGCCAGGAUCUUGAUUUUGGACUUGCCAGCUUCCAGAGCUCUGCGGGAUAAAUGUUAUUUGAGCCACCUAAUCUGCCGUGUUUUGUUAGAGCAGCCUGAGUGGACUAAGACAUCUCUACGAAACAGACAUAAUAACCCCGCCCCUGACAACUGCCAUUAAGAAAUAAAUGCAGGAGUUCCCGAUGUGGCGCAGUGGUUAACAAAUCUGACUAGGAACUAUGAGGUUGCAGGUUCGA